GAGAGGGUGGUGAUAACCUGGGUCUGCACCCUACCCUACCUCUUCCUCUCUCUCCCUUCCUGUGGUGCCCCAUCCCCAGGAUGGCCCUACAUGCGGCGCUGGUAGCCAGAGUGCAUCUGAGCUGCCCGCAGGUAAUCAUUAUAGGAGCCCGAAUAGCGUGCGUAAUCGGAAUGGGCAUCGGGCAGGCGACGGUAAUCCAGCGAGGACUUUGUCGGCGAGCGGCGGAACGAAAGCUGCGACUCUGAUAAACGGCGGUAAUCAGAGAGCUCGGCUAAACGCCGGUCGGAACCAUACCUAGUCGAGAGAAGAAGACAGUUGGUGAAUGAGACAGUUGAGGGCAGGGCUCCAGUUUUCACGGUCACUUCAUACACAAGAAGUCUCAACAAUCCUGUAAGGAAAAGACCAUUGUCUUCUCUUUCAGGGACAGAAGAAUACCUUCGCCUUAGAAGACUAUUUACUGCUUUUUCAGGAAAAGUUUAUCCUGCCAACCUCAAGUUAAAAGUUCAAGUAAGAAGACAGAAAUGCCUUGUGAGGUUUAAAUUGAUGAAGGAUGAUAAUGGAGUCGUGACAGUUCUUCAAACCUAAACUAACCAGAGGUUUAUUUCCCUAGAAAAUAUUAUUUUUAAUCUCUAAUAAAGCAUAAUGCUACAUUAUAACCUAAAA
ensembl:antisense Gm21844 predicted gene, 21844